rnacentral:lncRNA from 1 species
CAUUGGCUCCAGCUCUUGGCUAAGAGCUUGCUGGGCCCCAGACCUACCUGCUGAAGCUGAAGAUGAUGGAGAAGAGCCCCAGCACCAUGUUGGCCAGAGAUAAGGCACUGGUAACAUCCUUCCAGGAAACCUCAUUUAUCUGGGAAUGGCUCUGGUCAUGGCUCAGGAAGAAACUGGUACCCUUACCUGGGGGCUCACCCUGGGGACACGGCAUUCCUA